rnacentral:lncRNA from 10 species
AACAUUUCUCAAGCUGCUAAAACUCUAGCUUGCCAGACUUCCUCUCCAGAAAUCCAGAUCCAGUGGCUCUGGGAUGCGGCACAGGACCCUGGGUACUUCACAAGCACCCCAGCUUCUGGGGAAUUGAAGCACAUCCGAGAAAAGAUUGUUCGUUCCUUCCUGGACAUCUUAUUGGUUUACCUCACUGAAGAGAUCCCUCCAGGUAAUGCUAGUGUGGUGUGCUGGUUACAACACGUAGGUGCUAUUUUUAUUAUUGCCAUUGUACAGAUGGGGAAACUGAGGUACUGAGAGGUUUAGUAACUUUGGGUCCAAAGUCUCUAGUAAGCAUCCAAACUAGGGUUCGAACUCAGGCAGUCUGUGCAGUGAACCACUGUGCUAACCCCCCGUCAGGAAACAUAAGGGAGCUUUGCCGCUAAUUUGAUGAGAAAUGCCAAUCGAGCAAAAUGUAAAAUAACAAGAACAUGUCAAGCUGCCAUUUGACAUAUUUGUUUACUUAAUCUUUGGGGUUUAGCUUUGAGACAGAAUUUCACAGGCUCCUCCAUGACUCGUCUCCGUCAGAAAUGUGCCCACGUCUUCUUACUCACACCAGUGUUUCUCUCUGUUUAGAUCCAGUUAAUCCUCCUCAUUAAUCUUCAGCUCCCAAAUAAAGGCCCCUCUGUCCUCACUAGACCCAGAAUAUUUUCCUGCCCUGUACCAGGCCAGCCCCCGCAGGAGCUCCGAAUCCUUUUGAGAACCACACUCGUGUUUUUCUCCCAAGGUACACAGAAACAAAUAUGUCUGUGACUGACGCGCAGCAGAGUCUAUCGAGUAGGCAGGGGGCUGAGACAGGAAAGGAUCUUUUGGACAAAAGGACCAUAAAUCAUAUCCUUCCUGUGACCUGGACCAAGUGGUCUUCCCAAGACCCAAGCACUGCCCCUCAGGUGAGCAGAGAACUGGGACAGGACACAGCAGAGUGGCAGGGACCUAGGGUGUGGCUGCAGACCAUGGCUGUGUGCAGGCCCCAGCAGAGCCCUUUGUCAUAAAUAUGGGAUGGAAAACCUCAGCAGGGAAGCUGACUCUUUCGUUCACCUAAAGUUGUUCACCUCAGUGAUUCUGUGGCUUUGGGCUUCUGAGUCUAGCCAUGGCCCCAACCAGGGUUGGAGCAAGAGGUGGCAACCCAUCUUUCAACCUUAUUCCUUGUCAGGGUCAGCUGUCCAGGGUGUAGUUCUAAAGGGGGCACAAAACAUCCCUGCAGUCAAUAGAAGACUCAGAGCCAGUUAAGGCCUGUGCCAGAUAACUCAGCCACUACAUAGGGAUCUCUCUGUUCCCACCAGGGUGGGCAGUGCCCUCCAGUGGAAAACAAAAAUUCCUUGCACUCAUCUUAAGAUGCAGUCCCAGGAAACUGAAACCCCAGACUGCAGAGUGCACAGUAUAGUGCUUUUGUUCUGCUCAUAGGCAGUUUCUUUAAUCAUCUAAAUUGAAAACAGUUUAGUAUGCCAUUGGUGUAAAAGAUGUUUGGGGUAGAAAACCACAUAUAACAAAUGCCUUAUUUGGUACAUUAGCAAAGAAAUACACAGUUUGGGUUAAUGUCAAAUCGUUCUCUUCAGCCUACAAAACAAAUAUUAAAUGAACAUUUUUUAAAAUAUCCAUUUGAAGGAAUAUCAAGUCACAGUCCAGCCCAGAACAC